rnacentral:rRNA from 1 species
UACGGGGGGGGCAAGCGUUGUUCGGAAUUACUGGGCGUAAAGGGCUCGUAGGUGGCCAACUAAGUCAGACGUGAAAUCCCUCGGCUUAACCGGGGAACUGCUUCCGAUACUGGAUGGCUUGAGUGUGGGAGAGGGAUGCGGAAUUCCAGGUGUAGCGGUGAAAUGCGUAGAUAUCUGGAGGAACACCGGUGGCGAAGGCGGCAUCCUGGACUACUACUGACGCUGAGGAGCGAAAGCCAGGGGAGCAAACGGG